GCCUCGGUAGCUCGGCAGGUUAGAGCGCCACAUUGGUAAUGUGGAGGCCGUGAGUUCAAUUCUCACCCGAGGCU
rnacentral:tRNA from 1 species